rnacentral:ncRNA from 1 species
UCUAGUCCGACUUUGUAAAAUGACUUAAGAGGUGUAGGAUAAGUGGGAGUCAUCGGGCAUAAGUGAAAUACCACUACUUUUAAUGUUAUUUGACUUAUUCCGUUAGUCAGAGGCAGGGCAUCGCCCCUCCUUUUGGACCUAAGGCUUGCCUUAGUGGGCCGAUCUAAGGUUGUUGGUAAAGGUUGGAACAUUGA